ensembl:lincRNA
UCAGUUUCCCAGCCCCGCCGAAAAUGGCGGGAGAAGGGUCUGUUCCGGGUGGCGCGGCGCGCUGAGGGACCGGCAGCGCCCGGGAGGAGGGCCCAGGGGACCGAGUUUCGUUUCGUUUCCGAGACCAGCCUGCUGCUCGUGUUACGUUUUUAAAUUUAGCGCCAGGCGAGGGGCUCUGAAUGCCAGCCCGUGGCCGCAGGCAACGGGAAGGGGCCGCGGCCUCUCCCUCGCGGCUCCGCUAGUGGAGAAAAAGUUGUUCUCUUCUACCAAAUUUUCCUGCCAUCAAAUGCUCAUCGAGUGACAAUAGAGAAAGCACCAUCAUCCUCAAGCAUCAGAUUGGGAGAAAAGUCCGCUCUCGAGAGCAUCAACUAUGUAGAAAGGGGACCAGCUUCUGCAAAAGACUUGAGACAGCUCACAAUGAAGUACUCUGUAUUAGGCAGGGUAAUAUUGAUUGCAAGUGACAGAAACCCAAUCAGAAACUCACUGGAGUCAUGAGGAACACUUAUUGGCUCAGGUAACCUAACCCUUGAAUGGGCAGGGAUGUAUCUGGUUUGGGAGGAAAUAGUAGUACCAGGUGCUGAAAGUAGCUGUCUCAGACUCUGGUCUGUCUGUCUUUCUGUGUCACAUUCUUUCACACCUUGGAGGUUGUGGUCAUCUGGCUUAUCACUGGUCAAGAAGAUGCCUCCUUCAUUAGUUCCUUGAUUUCAAUUUGAAAUAAUGCUGGUCAAAGACUCUGGCCUUCAGCAAAGACCAUGGCAAUGGUCUGAGAGUGGCAGAAGGCAGAGGUUGACUGCAUUACUAAAAUGACAAGGUUGGAGUUGGGACAGGUGGGGAGAAGGGUUUAUCUAAAAGAAGGUGCUGCUGCUAUCAGAAGAGGGAGUGUUUGGGCUGGGGGGACAAAAUAAAAUAUGUCCACAACAGAUACAUCAAUAGAAUCAUUAAAUAAAGCUGGAUGGGAUGGAAAUGAGCAGGGUUCGUUGUGUAAGAAAACCUAAAUUAAUUAUGGUAGCUUCAGUUUAGCUCUCACAUAUGUGAAAGUCAAGGUAACAUAGAGAAACAUAUCAUUUAUAAACAAAAGGAAGCAAUCAUUUUCCUAUGUGUAAACUCUACUAUGAUACUUAAAUAGGUUUACAGGAGUCAUUCAGUGGACAACAUCUUCCAUAGUGAUUUUCAAAAAAGAUGCAAACAAUUUUUAUUCUGUCAUAUCUUAUAUCAAAAAUUAUAUUUAGAGCAUAUUACCUCAUAUUUCUUUUAGGUCUUCAUGGUGUAUUUAGGAUGAUAAAUAAGGUGUAUCUGGGGAGAUAAAUCCAGGUAUAUAGCUUUCAGAUGAUCAAAUCUAUUAGCAUAACAUCCAAUUAAUGGACCAUUAAUGAUACCAUAUUUUUAUCAAUGUGUAAAGGUUAUGUUUGCUCCCAUUUUGAACUUUUUGUUCAGUGUAGAUGACUGGAAUGAUCAUAUUAUGUGACACUGUGUUGAAGAGAGUCACUGAGAAAGAGGUAAUGUCAAGUAACAGGGAAAGUAAGAAAUGACUGGAACACACUGGGACUUUGCCAUAAACAUAAGAGACAGGCAGUCAGAACAGUAAAGAAUUGU